GGUGCAAUGGAUUGCGUACAAACCAAAAGGGUGUCGGAAUGGUACAUGUUUAUACUUCUCAUCCAACCGCAAUCAAAUUCACUCUAUCCGGAGGGCGCGAUUUAUCUGGAUAGUUUUUUUUUGUUUUUUUUUGUUUUUUUGAACAAUGACAAGCAGGAAUGAAA